rnacentral:rRNA from 1 species
UACGGAGGGUGCGAGCGUUGUCCGGAAUCAUUGGGCGUAAAGGGCGCGUAGGUGGCCCGGUCAGCGUGCGGUGAAAGCUCGGGGCUCAACCCCGGGUCGGCCGUGCGAACUACUGGGCUGGAGCACUGUAGAGGCAGGCGGAAUUCCGGGUGUAGCGGUGGAAUGCGUAGAGAUCCGGAAGAACACCGGUGGCGAAGGCGAGUCCCUGGACAACACCUGACACUGAGGCACGAAAGCUAGGGGAGCAAACAGG